UCAAGCGAAGAGGGGCGUACGGUGGAUGCCUAUGAAGGAGCCGCACGGCGAAGAAGGCCGUGACAAGCUGCGAAAAGCCACGGGGAGGAGCACAUAUCCUGAGAUCCGUGGAUGGCCGAAUGGGGUAACCCGGCUGCGGAAGCAGUCAGCGCUGCGUGAACAAACUAGCGUAGUGCGGCGAUACCCAGGGAACUGAACCAUCUCAGUACCUGGAGGAGAAGACAUCAAAAGAGAUUCCCACUAGUAGCGGCGAGCGAACGGGGAAGAGCCCAAACCUAUGUCAGCGUAAUAAGUGCACGCUGUUGCUGGCAGGGGGUAGAUGGUCCAAGUUGGAGGGACGUGCAGGACCUCGCGGAGGAGAGAAAGCGUCUUGGCAAGGGGAACGGCAUGGGAAGGCCGGCCAGAGGGGGUGAGAGCCCCGUACCUGAAAGCUUAAAGGCGGCUCCGUGGACUUGGAACCUAAGUACGGCGAGGCUCGAGGAACCUUGUCGGAAGCAGGGUCGACCACGAUCCAAGGCUAAAUACGAUGCGGCUACCGAUAGUGCACAAGUACCGUGAGGGAAAGGUGAAAAGAACCCCGGUGAGGGGAGUGAAAGAGAACCUGAAACCAUACGCCCACAACAGGUCGGAGCAGAGCGCAAGCUUUGUGACGGCGUGCCUUUUGUAGAAUGAGCCUGCGAGUUACGGUAUGCAGCGAGGUUAAGGAGUUGGAGCUCUGGAGCCGGAGGGAAACCGAGUCUGAUAAGGGCGGAUAGUUGCAUGUCGUAGACCCGAAGCCAGGUGAUCUUAUUACGGGCAGGUUGAAGCUUGAGUAAAAUCAAGUGGAGGACCGAACUCUAGUGUAAUGAAAAACGCAGGGAUGACCCGUGAUAAGGGGUGAAAGGCUAAUCAAACCUGGAAAUAGCUGGCACUCCCCGAAAUGCCUUGAGGGACAGCCUUAUACAAAUGUCAUGGAGGUAGAGCACUGUUUGGACUAGGGGUCUUCACCGGCUACCAAACCCAGGCAAACUACGAAUGCCAUGACACAACGUAUAGGAGUGAGACUGUGGGCGAUAAAGUUCAUAGUCGAGAGGGGAACAGCCCAGACCGACAGCUAAGGUCCCAAAAUGCCGCUAAGUGUGAAAUGAGGUGUUAUUGCGAAGACAGCCAGGAGGUUGGCUCAGAAGCAGCCAUUCCUUAAAAGAGUGCGUAAUAGCUCACUGGUCGAGCAAUGAUGCGCAGACAAUGUAACGGGGCUUAAGCGGUAUACCGAAGCUUCGGAUUCAUGCCGUAAGGUAUGGAUGGUAGGGGAGCAUUCCAUGGACCGGAGAAGGUGCACUGUAAGGUGUGCUGGAGGGGAUGGAAGAGAGAAUGCAGGUAUAAGUACACGAAAAGACGGGUGAGAUUCCCGUCCGCCGAAAACCUAAGGUUUCCUGGGUAAAGGUCAUCUGCCCAGGGUUAGUCGGACCCUAAGAUGAGGCUGAAAGGCGUAGUCGAUGGGAAGCUGGUUCAUAGUCCAGCACCAUGCAAAGACACGAAGGGAUGACGCAUGAGGUGAAACCCGGCCGGAGAACGGUUGUUCCGGUCGAAGCAGUGAGCCUAGUGAAGCGUACAGGCAAAUCCGUAUGCGGAAGGUGAGCUGUGACAGCGAGUGGAGCUACGGCGAAGCGAAGCGGGCGUAAUCAAGGUGCCAAGAAAGAGUCUCUAAGGUUAAUCUUUGCAUGACCGUACCGUAAACGGACACACGUAGGUGGGAUGAGAAAUCUAAGGCGCUCGAGAUAACUCGCGUUAAGGAACUCGGCAAAAUGCACACGUAACUUCGGGAGAAGUGUGGCCUACUGGAAGGUAGGUUGCAGAGAGCAGGCCCAGGCGACUGUUUACCAAAAACACAGGACUCUGCGAACGCGCAAGCGGACGUAUAGGGUCUGACGCCUGCCCGGUGCUGGAAGGUUAAGAGGAGGGGUCAGCCGCAAGGUGAAGCUCUGAAUCGAAGCCCCAGUAAACGGCGGCCGUAACUAUAACGGUCCUAAGGUAGCGAAAUUCCUUGUCGGGUAAGUUCCGACCCGCACGAAUGGUGGAACGAUCUGGGCACUGUCUCAACGCGAGACUCGGUGAAAUUUAAGUACCGGUAAAGAUGCCGGUUACCCGUGGUUAGACGGAAAGACCCCAUGAACCUUUACUGUAACUUAGCAUGGGGACUUGGCCUUGCAUGUGUAGGAUAGGUGGGAGACUGAGAGACGUGGGCGUUAGUCUGCGUGGAGUCGUCGGUGAAAUACCACCCUUGCAAGGCUAGGUUUCUAACCUGUUCCGUAAAUCCGGGGCAGGGACAGUACUAGGUGGGCAGUUUGACUGGGGCGGUCGCCUCCCAAACAGUAACGGAGGUGCGCGAAGGUCGCCUUGCGCUGGUUGGAAAUCAGCGCUGUAAGUGUAAAGGCAAAAGGCGGCUUGACUGCGAGUCCGACAGGACGAGCAGGUACGAAAGUAGGUCUUAGUGAUCUGGCGGUAGCGAGUGGAAGCGCCGUCACUUAACGGAUAAAAGGUACUCUGGGGAUAACAGGCUGAUCUUGCCCAAGAGUUCAUAUCGACGGCAAGGUUUGGCACCUCGAUGUCGGCUCAUCGCAUCCUGGGGCUGGAGCAGGUCCCAAGGGUUUGGCUGUUCGCCAAUUAAAGCGGUACGUGAGCUGGGUUCAGAACGUCGUGAGACAGUUCGGUCCCUAUCUGCCACGGGCGUUGGAUGGUUGAGGGGAGCUGCUUUUAGUACGAGAGGACCGAAGUGGACGAACCUCUGGUGUACCAGUUAUCCUGCCAAGGGUAGCUGCUGGGUAGCCAAGUUCGGAAGGGAUAACCGCUGAAAGCAUCUAAGUGGGAAGCCCACCUCAAGAUGAACCAUCCCUGGGGGUAUAACCCCCCUGAAGGCACCAGGGAGACUACCUGGUUGAUAGGGUGGCGAUGUACGCGCAGUAAUGCGUUCAGUCGACCACUACUAAUCUGCCGUGAGGCUUGACCAU
rnacentral:rRNA from 1 species